AAUGAACGUUGGCGGCGUGGAUUAGGCAUGCAAGUCGAGCGUGAUCAGUUUGGUGCUUGCAUUAAACUGUGAAAGCGGCGAAAGGGAGAGUAACGCGUAGUUACCUGCCUCAGGGUUCAGAAUGGCCACGGGAAACUGUGGGUAAUGCUGAAUAACAUCUCCGGAUCAAAGGUGUGAUUCCGCCCUGAGAGGGGACUGCGUCCUACUAGUUUGUUGGUGGGGUAAUGGCCUACCAAGACUUUGAUGGGUAGCGGGUGUGAGAGCAUGACCCGUCUCACUGGGACUGAGACACUGCCCAGACACCUACGGGUGGCUGCAGUCGAGAAUCUUCGGCAAUGCGCGAAAGCGUGACCGAGCGACGCCGCGUGCGGGAUGAAGGCCUUCGGGUUGUAAACCGCUGUCGUAGGGGAGGAAGGCUCCAUGAAGAAUGGGGUCUGACCUAUCCUAGGAGGAAGGACGGGCUAAGUUCGUGCCAGCAGCCGCUGUAA
rnacentral:rRNA from 1 species